rnacentral:rRNA from 1 species
AGUGAACGCUGGCGGUAGGCCUAACACAUGCAGGUCGAACGGCAGCACAGUAAGAGCUUGCUCUUACGGGUGGCGAGUGGCGGACGGGUGAGGAAUACAUCGGAAUCUACUUUUUCGUGGGGGAUAACGUAGGGAAACUUACGCUAAUACCGCAUACGACCUACGGGUGAAAGCAGGGGAUCUUCGGACCUUGCGCGAUUGAAGGAGCCGAUGUCGGAUUAGCUAGUUGGGGGGGUAAAGGCCCACCAAGGCGACGAUCCGUAGCUGGUCUGAGAGGAUGAUCAGCCACACUGGAACUGAGACACGGUCCAGACUCCUACGGGAGGCAGCAGUGGGGAAUAUUGGACAAUGGGCGCAAGCCUGAUCCAGCCAUACCGCGUGGGUGAAGAAGGCCUUCGGGUUGUAAAGCCCUUUUGUUGGGAAAGAAAAGCAGCAGGUUAAUACCCCGCUGUUCUGACGGUACCCAAAGAAUAAGCACCGGCUAACUUCGU